rnacentral:rRNA from 1 species
AUCGAACGCUGGCGGCAGGCCUAACACAUGCAAGUCGAGCGAGCGGAGGACGGGUGAGUAAUGUAUGGGGAUCUGCCCGAUAGAGGGGGAUAACUACUGGAAACGGUGGAUAAUACUGCAUACUAUCGGUUGAACCCUUAUGGGAUUAGCUAGUAGGUGGGGUAAAGGCGCACCUAGGCGACGAUCCCUAGCUGGUCUGAGAGGAGGAUCAGUCACACUGGGACUGAGACACGGCCCAGACUCCUACGGGAGGGAGCAGUGGGGAAUAUUGCACAAUGGGCGCAAGCCUGAUGCAGCCAUGCCGCGUGUGGGAUGAGGGCUUUCGGGUUGUAAACCUCUUUCGCUAUCGAACGGGUAGGUGGAGAAGAAGCGCCGGCUAACUACGUGCCAGCAGCCGCGGUAAUUC